UACAGGGGUGCAAACGUUGCUCGGAAUUAUGGGCGUAAAGCGCGUGUAGGCGGCUUGCAAGUCGGGUGUGAAAGCCCUCAGCUUAACUGAGGAGGUGCGCCCGAAACUGCAGAGCUUGAAUACCGGAGAGGAUGGCGGAAUUCCCCAAGUAGAGGUGAAAUUCGUAGAUAUGGGGAGGAACACCGGUGGCGAAGGCGGCCAUCUGGACGGCUAUUGACGCUGAGACGCGAAAGCGUGGGGAGCAAACAGG
rnacentral:rRNA from 1 species